UACGUAGGGACCAAGCGUUGUUCGGAUUUACUGGGCGUAAAGGGCGCGUAGGCGGCGUGUCAAGUCAAUUGUGAAGUCUCCGGGCUUAACUCGGAACGGUCAAUUGAUACUGAUGUGCUAGAGUGCAGGAGGGGCAAUCGGAAUUCUUGGUGUAGCGGUGAAAUGCGUAGAUAUCAAGAGGAACACCUGAGGUGAAGACGGGUUGCUGGGCUGACACUGACGCUGAGGCGCGAAAGCUAGGGUAGCAAACGGG
rnacentral:rRNA from 1 species